ACUUUGUAUUGAGUAUCAUGGUAAAAUCAUUUAAAAUCUCCACAAAGAUAGUAAAAUUCAGAGGAAUCCUACAACUAUGGCACAAAACUAGAAGUAAAACAUGAUGCAUUUUUGGAAUCAUUAACUACAUAGGUUUAGGAUUAAUAUACCACUUCAAAAAAAGUUGAUGGUGGUAGCAGUAAAGGUGAUGGAGUUGAUAGUGGUGGCCUCGAAGGCAUUGCAACAUCGUUGGAAGAUAGACAAAUAAUGGCAUUAAAUUAGGAUGUACUCAUAAAGGAUCAAGUUUGUUGACUACAUGUCUUUGUGCUAUAUUCAACACAUGCGUUCUUAGUUGAGACAAUUGACAACAUAUGUAUGUUUAGAUAAAACUAAAUGCAAANNNNNNNNNNCAACUACAUAGGUUUAGGAUUAAUAUACCACUUCAAAAAAGGAUAUGGUGGUAGCAGUAAAGGUGAUGGAGUUGAUGGUGGUGCCCUCGAAUGCAUUGCAACAUCGUUGGAAGAGAGACAAGUAAUAGUAUUAAAUUAGGAUGUACUCAUAAAUGAUCAAGUUUGUUGACUACAUGCCUUUGUGCUAUAUUCAAUACUUGCGUUCUUAAUUGAGACAAUUGACAACAUAUGUAUGUUUAGAUAAAACUAAAUGCAAANNNNNNNNNNGGAUAAGGGGUGAACUAGACAUUUAUGGUUCAACGCUUGUGUUCCAUAUAAGGGCACUUCUUCUCCUCAUAUAUCCCACUAACCCACAGUUACCCAAUAAUACCAGCAAAUAUCUACC
rnacentral:lncRNA from 1 species